rnacentral:rRNA from 1 species
GGAAGUUUUCAGAGAUGAGAAUGUGCCUUCGGGAACCGUGAGACAGGUGCUGCAUGGCUGUCGUCAGCUCGUGUUGUGAAAUGUUGGGUUAAGUCCCGCAACGAGCGCAACCCUUAUCCUUUGUUGCCAGCGAUUAGGUCGGGAACUCAAAGGAGACUGCCAGUGAUAAACUGGAGGAAGGUGGGGAUGACGUCAAGUCAUCAUGGCCCUUACGACCAGGGCUACACACGUGCUACAAUGGCGCAUACAAAGAGAAGCGACCUCGCGAGAGCAAGCGGACCUCAUAAAGUGCGUCGUAGUCCGGAUUGGAGUCUGCAACUCGACUCCAUGAAGUCGGAAUCGCUAGUAAUCGUGGAUCAGAAUGCCACGGUGAAUACGUUCCCGGGCCUUGUACACACCGCCCGUCACACCAUGGGAGUGGGUUGCAAAAGAAGUAGGUAGCUUAACCUUCGGGAGGGCGCUUACCACUUUGUGAUUCAUGACUGGGGUGAAGUCGUAACAAGGUAACCGUAGGGGAACCUGCGGUUGGAUCACCUCCUUACCUUAAAGAAGC